UUCAUGCCCGACGAGAGAGUGCAAACAAUUUUUAGUGAAAUUUUCGAAUAGGCGAACAGCAAAUUCGUAGGGCUGUAGCCCAGGUUUUGGUUCUGUUCGGGUUCUGUUCCGUUCUGGUGCUGCUUCUUCUGCCCUCUGCCUCUGCCAGCGACGAUGUCGACGACAGUUUGAUGAUGAUGAUACUCAUAUGUAUAUUCGCAUGUGCUGCGGCGGGGUGCUCAGAGCCCGCCCCAUUUACUUUUUUGUUCUCAUGCGCAGGCCGGAGAACCGAACAGAACGGUUCUAAAUGAUGACGGGAGCACCGGCGCAGGAGAGCAGUAACAAAAAACACAACAGCCACUUAGAAUGAUAAAACAAACCCCAACACAGAGUGGGAGUAAGAGAGACAGAGAGGAAGAGCAAGCAAGUUCACGGGAAGCGCACACGCAAAACAAGGGGGGAAAAGGGCCCACAUAUGCGCAAAAGCUCAUGAUCACGACCGAAGCAGCAAGUUAGCUUAGAAGACCGAAGCUUUUGAUACCCUUGCAGAGAAACAACAACAUCGCCCUCAGCAAUGGCGUCCGUCCAAAACUUUCACGUUCUAUACCCUUUCCAAUCCAUUCCUAUAUAUCUCUCACUUGCCGAAAACAGUAUUUACCAUAAGGGAUACAACAUACGUGGAGCAAAAUAAACGUAAUUAGCAUUUUUAGCUAAAGGCCUACUAUAUUGCUGGCCCGCUCUAACGCAGAAGCAACAAGCAAACAACAGCAAAAGCAAAGGGGCAUCUAAUUCUCCAAACGAAAUAAAGGU